GAUGAACGCUGGCGGCAGGCUUAACACAUGCAAGUCGAGCGAGCGGCGGACGGGUGAGUAAUGUCUGGGAAACUGCCUGAUGGAGGGGGAUAACUACUGGAAACGGUAGCUAAUACCGCAUACCAGCAGAUGUGACCUGAUGGGAUUAGCUAUUGGGGGGGGUAAUGGCUCACCAAGGCGACGAUCCGUAGCUGGUCUGAAAGGAUGACCAGCCACACUGGAACUGAGACACGGUCCAGCCUCCUACGGGAGGCAGCAGUGGGGAUUAUUGCACAAUGGGCGCAAGCCUGAUGCAGCCAUGCCGCGUGUGUGAAGAAGGCCUUCGGGUUGUAAAGCACUUUCAGCGAGGAGGCGUUACUCGCAGAAGAAGCACCGGCUAACUCCGUGCCAGCAGCCGCGGUAAUAC
rnacentral:rRNA from 1 species